rnacentral:rRNA from 1 species
UACGUAGGGAGCAAGCGUUGUCCGGAAUCAUUGGGCGUAAAGCGCGCGUAGGUGGCCCUGUAAGUCCGUUGUGAAAGUCAAAGGCUCAACCUUUGAAAGCCGAUGGAUACUGCAGGACUAGAGUACGGAAGAGGCGAGUGGAAUUCCUGGUGUAGCGGUGGAAUGCGCAGAUAUCAGGAGGAACACCAAUAGCGAAGGCAGCUCGCUGGGACGUUACUGACACUAAGGCGCGAAAGCGUGGGGAGCGAACAGG